GAUGAACGCUGGCGGCGUGCUUAACACAUGCAAGUCGAACGGACUUUACAUGAAGCCUAGCGAAUGUAAAGUUAGUGGCGGACGGGUGAGUAACGCGUGGGUAACCUGCCUCAUACAGGGGGAUAACAGUUAGAAAUGGCUGCUAAUACCGCAUAAGCGCACAGUACCGCAUGGUACCGUGUGAAAAACUCCGGUGGUAUGAGAUGGACCCGCGUCUGAUUAGCUAGUUGGUAAGGUAACGGCUUACCAAGGCGACGAUCAGUAGCCGGCCUGAGAGGGUGAUCGGCCACAUUGGAACUGAGACACGGUCCAAACUCCUACGGAGGCAGCAGUGGGGAAUAUUGGGCAAUGGGCGCAAGCCUGACCCAGCAACGCCGCGUGAGGGAAGAAGGUUUUCGGAUUGUAAACCUCUGUCCUCAAGGACGAAGGAAGUGACGGUACUUGAGGAGGAAGCCCGGCUAACUACGUG
rnacentral:rRNA from 1 species